rnacentral:rRNA from 1 species
AACGCUAGCUACAGGCUUAACACAUGCAAGUCGAGGGGCAGCGCAGUGUAGCAAUACAUGGGCGGCGACCGGCGCACGGGUGCGUAACGCGUAUCCAACCUUCCCGAUACUCAGGGAUAGCCUUCCGAAAGGGAGAUUAAUACCUGAUGGUGUUGAAAUUCCGCAUGUUAUUUCAACUAAAGAUUUAUCGGUAACGGAUGGGGAUGCGUGACAUUAGAUAGUAGGCGGGGUAACGGCCCACCUAGUCUACGAUGUCUAGGGGUUCUGAGAGGAAGGUCCCCCACACUGGAACUGAGACACGGUCCAGACUCCUACGGGAGGCAGCAGUGAGGAAUAUUGGUCAAUGGUCGGAAGACUGAACCAGCCAAGUAGCGUGAAGGAUGAAGGUUCCAUGGAUUGUAAACUUCUUUUAUACGGGAAUAAAACCUCCCACGUGUGGGAGCUUGUAUGUACCGUAUGAAUAAGCAUCGGCUAACUCCGUGCCAGCAGCCGCGGUAAUACGGAGGAUGCGAGCGUUAUCCGGAUUUAUUGGGUUUAAAGGGAGCGUAGACGGGAGAUUAAGUCAGUUGUGAAAGGCUGCGGCUCAACCGCAGCACUGCAGUUGAUACUGGUUUCCUUGAGUGCGGUUGAGGUGUAUGGAAUUCGUGGUGUAGCGGUGAAAUGCUUA